rnacentral:lncRNA from 1 species
GUGCAUUAUGAUCUUUUGAAUUUUCUCCUUCAAAUAACGAUCGGUAUGAUAUUAUUUGAUUCUUUCUAAUUUUCUAAAUAAAUAAAUUUAUUUUUGUUAGAGGGUACCUAGUGUUGAGUCAUUGACAGGGUAAAGAGGAAAAAAGAGGAGAUAAGGAAGGCAAUGUAUUGGAUCUGGGUUAGAUUGGCCCACAUCUGUACCUAUCCCAUAAUCAAACAUCUUAUAUCCAUAUCUAUCCCAUACUUGCCUCGGUUGGAUCGGGUCGGGUCAAGUAUAGAUAAAGGUGGAUAGGCUAGAUAAGAAGAAUUGGAUCAGAUCGGAUACAUGUAAAUAAUAUAAAAUUAUUAAAAUUUUGAAAGGAGAUAUAUAUUUAUGUCAGGUCAGAUCAGAUUCAGAGUGAGAUGUACCAUUAUCCAUAUCCAACCUACUUAAGUUAUUUUUUUUAAAACUCAUAUUCAUCCCAGAUUCUAAUCGGAUCAAAUAAAAUGCAUCCCAUUCGGAUUGGAUUGGAUCAGAUACCCAGCAGAUCGGCUAAAAUUACCAUCCCUAAG